CUGGUUGAUCCUGCCAGUAGUCAUAUGCUUGUCUCAAAGAUUAAGCCAUGCAUGUCUCAGUGCAAGCCGUCCUGUACGGUGAAACCGCGAAAGGCUCAUUAAAUCAGUUAUGGUUCCUUAGAUAGUACCCACACUUACUUGGAUAACUGUGGUAAUUCUAGAGCUAAUACAUGCCGACAGAGUUCCGACGGGCGCGCUCGGCRGCGGCCUCGCGGUUGUCGUCGUUGGCGCGUUCGGCCGGGACGCUCUUAUUAGAUCAAAACCG
rnacentral:rRNA from 1 species